GAUGAAGAACGUAGCGAAAUGCGAUACGUAAUGUGAAUUGCAAAUUCAGUGAAUCAUCGAGUCUUUGAACGCACAUUGCGCCCCCUGGUAUUCCGGGGGGCAUGCCUGUCCGAGCGUCAUUGCUGCCCUCAAGCACGGCUUGUGUGUUGGGCCCCGUCCUCCGAUCCCGGGGGACGGGCCCGAAAGGCAGCGGCGGCACCGCGUCCGGUCCUCGAGCGUAUGGGGCUUUGUCACCCGCUCUGUAGGCCCGGCCGGCGCUUGCCGAUCAACCCAAAUUUUUAUCCAGGUUGACCUCGGAUCAGGUAGGGAUACCCGCUGAACUUAAGCAUAUCAAUACGCGGAGGA
rnacentral:misc_RNA from 1 species